UGGUGCACACCUGUAGUCCCAGCUACUUGGGAGGCUGAGGUGGGAGGAUGGCUUGAGCUUGGGAAUUGGAGGCUGCAGUGAGCUGAGAUCACACCACUUCACUCCAGCCUGGACCACACAGUGAGACCCUGUCUCUAAAAAAAAAAAAGAAAAAAAAAAAAAAAGCAGGAGCGUGAACUUGAAUGGGAACAGCAGUGAACGCUGAGUCCUGGGCACAUUCACUAGGAUACCAAAAAUGUGUCUGGACCUCUCCCUUUAAGUAAACGUAAUUGGGAGCACCUCUUCUGGCUGAAUGUGACCUUCGCAUACAAUUUUGUUUGCCUUUCCAAGCCUUGCACGUUAUAUUUAUUAGAACGACCACCCCCCAUUUAGUUUUCCUUUGAAGAGUCUUUCUUGUAAACCGUGGGUGCGUGUGUGUUUGCGUCCCGAUCUGCCAGGGCUGGGCGCCAAGUGCAAAGUGCGCAGCCGCGAAGUGGAGUCGGCGCCGGCGGGAGCGCGGGGCUCAGGGCCAGGGCCCGCCUCCAGGGGGCGGUGUGCGCCCCCGGCGCUGGAGCAGCCGCGUUUCGGGGACCCGGGCAGGCGUGGGGGGCUGCGCUGAGCUCCAGGCCUCCUGCAGGUAGGGAUGCUUUGCUGACAGAUUCGGGCGUCCUCCCCUGAACGAAUGUCCUGGCGGGGCGUGCCCAGCCACCAUCCAGCUUCAGAGGCAAUGGCCGGGCGUCGUGAGAAGGGGAGGGAGAAGGAAGCGGAAGAGAGAGAGUUGGAAAGACUAGAGGAAGAGGUGGCCACGUCUUUUGCCAUCCCAGCUUUAAACUGCAGUGUUUAAUGCAACCAUACCUCACUGCAGCCUUCAACUCCUGGGGCUCAAGAAAUCCUCUUGCCUCAGCAUCCUGAGAAGCUAGGACUAUAGGUGUAUGCCACCAUGCACCCAGCUAAUUAAAAAAAAUUUUUUUUGAGACAGAGUCAUGGUUUUUUUUUGCCCAGGCUUGUCUUGAACUUCUGGGUUCAAGCGAUCCUACUGCCUUGGCCCUCACAAAGUGCUGGGAUUAUAGGCAUGAGCUACCAUGCCUGGCCUGCCCUGGGAUUUUCUCAAAGCUGGCAGACUAAUGGGUUAUUCAGAAUAUGGGUCAGAGCUGCACACACACCCACAUACACACACACACACACACACACACACACACAGUACAUAUUGGUUCCCCAAUCCAGAGUCGUAUCAAGUGCUAUAGCUCUUUAUUAGCAGUAGGGGGUGCAAGAUUCAGAGAGAUAUCCCAUCGCUCACCAGAUCACUGGGCACAGCAAUUCUGCUGAGAGAGCAGGUUCUUGAAUUCUUGUGACACAACAUUCCACUCUUUGGCACACAUGUAGGCACAUAAUGUACUUGUUUCCGCUCACUAGGUGCAAUAAGAAUCGUAUUACUAAUGUGGUGUCCUCUGGAAUGGUCACAUGAACACAGUUCCCUGCAGAUGUAAUUGGGAGAGAAGGCACAGUCCUGACACAGGGUAAGACUGUGGAGGUGUAUUGCUGUCCCUACCAGGUAAAAUAAUAUUGCUUCUGGUGGUUUUAUUGGGAAAGAGACAACACAUUUACCAAACUGAUAGCUGCAUAUUGGGUGCUGGGGGCUGUGUUGAUUUGCUACAGUCAUAAAACUAUGUCUAGAACAAAAGCUGCAAUGGAAGCCAUCUAUUGACUAAAUUAACAGUGAACCCUUAUUAUCCUCCAACAGCCAUAUGUGUUCUACAUAGGUGAAGCAGGGGAGUUAAGUGGCCGUAAUAGGAAAUGUCAUCUCUACAUCUUUUUUGUUUGUUUGUUUUGUUUUUUUUUUUAGACAGAGUCUUACUCUGUCGCCCAGGCUGGGGGGCAGUGGCGUGAUCUUGGCUCACUACAAGCUCUGCCUCCUGGGUUCAUCCCAUUCUCCUCCUCAGCCUCCCGAGUAGCUGGAACUACAAGUGCCCGCCACCAAGCCCGGCUAAUUUUUUGUAUUUUUAGUAGAGACAGGGUUUCACUGUGUUAGCCAGGAUGGUCUUGAUCUCCUGACCUCAUGAUCCACCUGCCUCGGCCUCCCAAAGUGCUGGGAUUACAGGCAUGAGCCACCACGCCCGGCCAUCUCUACAUCUUUCAAGUCUUUGGCAGUUCAUUCAGGGAUGUGAUGUUGCUUUUGAUAACUCUUGAUAGGAAGAAGUGGUUCCAGGGUUUUCCACUUGCUCCUUCUUACCUAAAUAGUCCUCACUUCCUGGGCCAGGGAUGAGUGUGGGGAUUCUGUAGCUGGGUGUUUCUGCAUACAUUCAUAGAGUUUCUGCAUAGAGAGUGCUCUGCAUUCAGAAACCCAGGAAAUGCUACAGGAUAAGUUUAUAGACCUACAAGGUACAUCAUGAGAAGCACGUGAGCCAAAACUCCACUUAUCACUUGACUCCUAUAACCCCAACUCUGAAAGCAGAGUUCAAGCAACUGUUGCGUCACCUCUUGCUACAGAGCACCAGGGUCCCACCUUCUGAUGUGAAUGAGACCUCCUGUGCUUCAAGCCCAGCCAAGUCAGAUAACUUAGUGGUCUUCAAAUUUUUUUCUGCAUACACUCCUGAAGACAAUUUAGAAAAAAUUUAGAAAAAUAAUGUACCCUUCACCCACUUUUUUUUUUUCUGAGAUGGAGUCUCACUUUGUUGCCAGGAUAGAGUGCAGUGGCAGGAUCUUGGCUUACUGCAACCUCUGCCUCCUGGGUUCGAGCAAUUCCCCUGCCUCAGCCUCCCAAGUAGCUGGGACUACAGGCAUGCGCCACCACUCCUGGCUAAUUUUUGUAUUUUUAGUAGAGACAGCGUUUCACCAUGUUGGCCAGGAUGAUCUCAAUCUCCUGACCUCACCUUCACCCACUUUUUAACUUGACAUCUCACCUUUUCCUGAUAAGUGUAAAUAGUUGAAAUGGAUCACAGAACAUUAGAAGUUUAAAAAAAGCUAACAUGACAAAACCUAAGAAAGAGAUCUUUUUAUUGAAGAUCUGCCUGAUUCAUCUCUAUUAUGUUUUUACGUAGACUGGCUUCUGGUUGUGUACAUUUCCAACCUUAUUUCUUCUCUACUGUCCACACAUUCAUGGUGCUGGUCACCACAGAAAAUGAAUAUCACAGCAUGACUUCUGGUCCUCAGGACCGUGGGCAGAGGGAGUAUUUCUAGAAAUCAUUUUUACACUAGAGGGGCUAGCAAUAACAUAAUCAUAUGUGGAAGUUACUGCACCAGUAAAUACAUCCUCUGAAACCCCAACUAACUUGUUUAUCCCAAUUCAAUUAGUGGACUUUCAAAAGCACCCAUGGCCACUGCAAUGCCACCACACAUGGGGAGAAGAAAGACAAAGGGGAGUGUAAAAAGAGGUAUUAAUCCUUAAGGUUGAAAGGUCUUACUCUUGUAAAUUUUACUAAAAUAUGUGACCCAGAAGAGCCAUUUCUAGGCCUUGGGGGUGGCCUGUGCUAGUGAAAGCCUCUGAAGAUUGGGGUUUGUUAGCUACGGGGUGAAUCUACCGCUGCACUGUCAAUAGGGACAUUAUGAUAAAAAUGUCAUGUAACUUUGUGAAAAGUAUCCAUGGAGCCUAAACACUAUAAUGACAUGCUAUCCAUCAUCAUUUACUUUGAAAUAUUUGAACAAUCUCUUUAAUUUUCGAAAAUUUUUCAAAAUUUUGAAAAUUUGUCUUUUUACUCUUGAACAUAUAAAGUUCCAUUUCACUUUCUUCUUAGGAUUCCUUCAUAAUGUAAUGUGUGUGUGUGUGUGUGUGUAUGUAUAUAUAUAUUUUUAGACAGGGUCUCACUCUGUUGCUCCAGCUGAAGUACGUAGUGCAAUCACAGCUCACUGCAGCUUUGAACUCCUGGGCUUAAGCCAUCCUCCCACCUCAGCCUCCUGACCAGCUGGGGUUACAGACAUGUGCCACCACACCCAGCUAAUUGCUUUUUCAUUUCUUUUGUAGAGAUAGAGGGUCUCACUGUGUUUCCCACGCUGGUCUCGAACUCCUGGUCUCAAACAGUCCUCCCAUCUCAGCCUCCCAAAGUGCUGUGAUUAUAGGUGUGAGCCACUGUGCCCAGCCUAAUGUAUAUUUUUAACAGCUUUAUUAAGAUAUAAUUUAUCUAUUGUACAAUUCACAUAAGUAAAGUGUGCUAUUGAAUGGCUUUUAAUAUAUUCACAGACUUUUACAUCGUGACCACAAUAUAUGUUAGAACAUUUUUAUUUCAAAAGAAGCCCUACACCCCUCAGCUAUCACCCCGGCAAUUGUUCCAUCUCCCUCAACCCCACCCAGUUCUAGGUCACCAUUAAUUCACUUUCUGUCUCUAUGGAGUUGCUCACUCCAAGCAUUUAUAUGUAAAUGGAAUCAUGCAGUAUGCUAUCCUUUGAGACUGGCUUCCUUCAGUUACAAGGUUCAUCCUAUACUUACGCUUGAAACAUUUAUUAAUCACCCUUUUCUGCAACCAAAAAUGUAUGUGAAUCGAAAUUGUAAAGUGUUCUUUAUUUCCUGCCACCAAAAGACUUUAGGAAUUUAAAGUAUUUUCUGGGUCAUGAUUACAAUGGUUGUUAUCAUGCAACUUAUGAAAACAACAUAAAUGUUAUAAACGUUGCUAAAAAAAUUGUGUUAAUUCAAAGAGUGAAAUUUUAUUGGAAAUGUCUCACUUACAUGAUGAGUUUUUAAAAUUUUCUCUGUCUUUCUCUCUCUCGGGAUCUCACUUUGCUGCCCAGCCUGGAGUGCAGUAGUGUAAUCUCGGCUCACUGCAGCCUCAAACUUCUGGGCUCGAGCGAUCCUCUCACCUCAGCCUCCUGAGUAGCUGGGACUACAGGUGCGUGCCACCAUGUCUAGGUAAUUUUUAAAGUUUUUUUGUAGAGAUGAGGCCUCCCUAUGUUGCCCAGGCUGGUCUCAAACUCCUGGGGUCAGGAGAUGCUCCCAAAGUGCUGGGAUUACAGGCAUGAGCUACUACGCCCAGCUGGAAUUUCCUUAUUUUAAAAAUGUAUGACUGAAUCUACCACCGCCAGAAUCUACCACUGCCAGAUGGUUCUGCCUGGAUUCUUUUCCUACUUUUUGUGCUUCGUAGGUAUAAUUGCUGGAAAGCCUGAUCACAAAAUUAAGCUGAUGGGAAUGGAAAAGGUUUCUUAUAGAAAUAUCAGUCAAUUCUCCCAAUUCUUUCCUCUUUCUCUUCCCCCAAAUCACCUAGCAUUCCUUACCCAGGUCCCCACAGGACUCCUCCUGCAGAACGAUGCCUCCUUUGACGGUAGAUAGAUACGUCAGAGAUGAGGUCGUUACUCAGCGCUUGUCACUGCUCACCAGCUCACUAUCAUAUACCUGAAUUCAGAACAUCCCAACAUGGGCCAAAAGCCAGGCCCCUUCCUUAGCAGAAAGUACCAUGAGGCAGGGAAAGCUGGAACGGCAGAGGGUGGUGGGGCCUUGCUUGGUUAUCAGGACAGCCUUUCCCUGUGUUUGGCAUUUGAGGGUUUAGAAACCCUCGUGGAGUAAGUUUGGGAAGGCUGAGGGCUAGUGCUUUCUUUUAUAAAGUGUGCUUUUGAACACUUGCCUUGAGGCAAGAGUGUAUAAAGGAGGUAAGGAUCUGGAAAUUGAUUUCUUUGAAAUUAUGUGUAUACAUUUGGACCCAGGAGUUUGAAAACCACCCAGCCGAGGGAGCUGAGACUUUGAUUCCUAAGACUCAGUCCUACGACCUCUCCUGAUUCCAGUCUCGGUGUUGGUCAGGGUUCAGUUACAGAGCAGAGCAGAAAGGGAUUUAUUUCAGGAUAUUAAAUGGUUUAUGGAAUCAUGGGGAAGGUGAACAAACAGGCUCUAGCCUGAACUUCCCAGGGGACUCCUGGAGUCCCAUGUAGCAAGGAAGCUUAAGGCUCUUCUCUGACAACUUGGGAAGCUGUUGCUGCGGCUGCUGCAUCAGACACCCCGCCAUGGCGCUGAGCAGGGUGGGGUUUAGAUUCCCAGUCACGUGUAAAGGCAGUCACACCAUCCACGUGCCAGUGGAGUACAACUUGGCAGGCAGUGAGAAGGUGCCAGGAUUUUUCGGAGUUAAGUGACU
rnacentral:lncRNA from 1 species